rnacentral:rRNA from 1 species
UGGUCGGUACAAAGGGUUGCUACACAGCGAUGUGAUGCUAAUCUCAAAAAGCCGAUCGUAGUCCGGAUUGGAGUCUGCAACUCGACUCCAUGAAGUCGGAAUCGCUAGUAAUCGCGGAUCAGAAUGCCGCGGUGAAUACGUUCCCGGGCCUUGUACACACCGCCCGUCACACCAUGGGAGUUUGUUGCACCAGAAGUAGCUAGCCUAACUGCAAAGAGGGCGG